rnacentral:lncRNA from 1 species
UUAUUUAGCAAAUAAAUAAACAACUUGUACUGCCAUGUAGCGAUUUCGAUAGACGACGCCUUCAAGGGAGGAGGAGUCUACAACAUAUUGAAUUUAUCGAUCGAUUGUUAGGCCGAUUUCGAUCAGCAUUGUAUAGUUAAUGAAUGACAACUUGACGAGAUCUUGACACGCACGUUGGAAGUGUACGCGUGUUUGCACCUCGAUGAGCGUUGCACAAUAACAAAGCUCCGUUGGUGAGCGUAUUGAUUAAUAAAGCUAGGUGAAGUCCUUGAGUGCCUCAAGGACUUUGUUUUGUUUUAGCAGUAUUUUUUCCUUCAACAAUUAAUCUUGCAUCUCCAACCGUGGAAUGAGUUACAUGUGACUCGAGACAAACAAACAGUGCAAUUGCAACAAUAUAAUUAGUCAGCGGUAUGGUCACUAUCAGCAGCUUUACACACAGUGUGCAUCGUGAAUACAUCAAUCCCAGAGAAAACAUUCCAAUGGAAAAUAUUGAGAAUUUCUGCCCUUCUAUCCUGAACUAAACAAUGCUGAGAUGAGUCAUCCGCUCCUUGGACAACGCUGCGAUCGUGGUGAAGAAAUUAUCGGGAG